UCCUCGGGGGUGUAGUGGUAGCACGCCACCCCAGCAUGGGUGAGGCGCGGGUUCAACUUCCUCCUGAGGGA